rnacentral:rRNA from 1 species
AACGAACGCUGGCGGCAGGCCUAACACAUGCAAGUCGAACGCCCGUAGCAAUACGGGAGUGGCAGACGGGUGAGUAACGCGUGGGAACGUGCCCUUCGGUUCGGAAUAAACUCAGGGAAACUUGAGCUAAUACCGGAUACGUCCGUAAGGAGAAAGAUUUAUCGCCGAAGGAUCGGCCCGCGUCGGAUUAGCUAGUUGGUGAGGUAAUGGCUCACCAAGGCGACGAUCCGUAGCUGGUCNGAGAGGA